rnacentral:misc_RNA from 1 species
GAUGAAGAACGUAGCGAAAUGCGAUAAGUAAUGUGAAUUGCAGAAUUCAGUGAAUCAUCGAAUCUCUGAACGCACAUUGCGCCCGCCAGUAUUCUGGCGGGCAUGCCUGUUCGAGCGUCAUUUCAACCAUCAAGCCCCCGGCUUGUGUUGGGGACCUGCGGCUGCCGCAGGCCCUGAAAACCAGUGGCGGGCUCGCUAGUCACUCCGAGCGUAGUAAUACAUCUCGCUCAGGGCGUGCUGCGGGUUCCGGCCGUUAAAAAGCCUUAUUUACCCAAGGUUGACCUCGGAUCAGGUAGGAAGACCCGCUGAACUUAAGCAUAUCAAUAAGCGGAGGA